UGAUUGUGCUUAUCUUGGCUACUCGUCCAC
rnacentral:piRNA from 1 species